GCCAUCCUCAGAGGAGGACUGGUGCUAGCUGGUUUUACAGAUGAGCUGAGGCCACUCAGCUGAAGCCGGACAACUGUGGAGCGGCUGGGCCAGUGUGCAAUACCAGGUCUGAGAGCUGAGCCCGAGGACCUGAGCCCUGCACCCCUGGGCUGGAGAGAGCCCACAAGCAUCACCCCUUCCAGGCAUCACUACUUCAUCUGGGGACGGGAAGACUCAGAGGACUGGGCCAGGGCCUCGGGCUGUCAGCUGGGAUGCAGCCCUGGGGUUCUAGCUGCCAGCUCCAGGGAUCAGGGCCCUAUGCUAAUGCUCUGCUGUUGCCAACUUUAAAUUCUUAGGGUUUUUUGUUUGUUUGUUUUGUUUUUUGUUUUUUUUUUGCAAGAGGACUUGCAUUUUCAUUUUGCACUGGAUCCCAGAAAUUAUGUAGCCAGUAGUCCCGGGGGCUCUGGGUGACCCGGCAUACUCUCCCUCCCGCCCUUGGCUUUCACAGAGGGGGCUGAGACCUGGCACUUGGUUCACAGCACCGCUUUUGUGCCCGGCUUCCUCCUGCCCAGUGCCAGGUGGACCCAGAAGUUUCUGCAGGAAUGGGAGGGGGGAGGAGAGCCCUGAGCUGGCGAAGCAAGGAGCAGGCUGGCAGCGGAGCCACAGCACGGAGCGAGGAGCUCUCAACAGGUGUCAGGCAGAGGUCUGGUGGCUGGUUCGGGGUCUACUGAAGGCUGUCUUGAUCAGGAAACUGAAGACUCUCUGCUUUUGCCACAGCAGUUCCUGCAGCUUCCUUGAGAUGAGGAAACUGAGGCUCAGAGAGGUCACAUGGCUUGCUCGAGGCCCCCCAGCCAGUGUGAACCCACAUCCCUGCCCCCAGGGCCACCUGCAGGACGCCGACACCUACCCCUCAGCAGACGCCGGAGAGAAAUGAGUAGCAACAAAGAGCAGCGGUCAGCAGUGUUCGUGAUCCUCUUUGCCCUCAUCACCAUCCUCAUCCUCUACAGCUCCAACAGUGCCAAUGAGGUCUUCCAUUACGGCUCCCUGCGGGGCCGUAGCCGCCGACCUGUCAACCUCAAGAAGUGGAGCAUCACUGACGGCUAUGUCCCCAUUCUCGGCAACAAGACACUGCCCUCUCGGUGCCACCAGUGUGUGAUUGUCAGCAGCUCCAGCCACCUGCUGGGCACCAAGCUGGGCCCUGAGAUCGAGCGGGCUGAGUGUACAAUCCGCAUGAAUGAUGCACCCACCACUGGCUACUCAGCUGAUGUGGGCAACAAGACCACCUACCGCGUCGUGGCCCAUUCCAGUGUGUUCCGCGUGCUGAGGAGGCCCCAGGAGUUUGUCAACCGGACCCCUGAAACCGUGUUCAUCUUCUGGGGGCCCCCGAGCAAGAUGCAGAAGCCCCAGGGCAGCCUCGUGCGUGUGAUCCAGCGAGCGGGCCUGGUGUUCCCCAACAUGGAAGCAUAUGCCGUCUCUCCCGGCCGCAUGCGGCAAUUUGACGACCUCUUCCGGGGUGAGACGGGCAAGGACAGGGAGAAGUCUCAUUCGUGGUUGAGCACAGGCUGGUUUACCAUGGUGAUCGCGGUGGAGUUGUGUGACCACGUGCAUGUCUAUGGCAUGGUCCCCCCCAACUACUGCAGCCAGCGGCCCCGCCUCCAGCGCAUGCCCUACCACUACUACGAGCCCAAGGGGCCGGACGAAUGUGUCACCUACAUCCAGAAUGAGCACAGUCGCAAGGGCAACCACCACCGCUUCAUCACCGAGAAAAGGGUCUUCUCAUCGUGGGCCCAGCUGUAUGGCAUCACCUUCUCCCACCCCUCCUGGACCUAGGCCACCCAGCCUGUGGGACCUCAGGAGGGUCAGAGGAGAAGCAGCCUCCGCCCAGCCGCUAGGCCAGGGACCAUCUUCUGGCCAAUCAAGGCUUGCUGGAGUGUCUCCCAGCCAAUCAGGGCCUUGAGGAGGAUGUAUCCUCCAGCCAAUCAGGGCCUGGGGAAUCUGUUGGCGAAUCAGGGAUUUGGGAGUCUAUGCGGUUAAUCAGGGGUGUCUUUCUUGUGCAGUCAGGGUCUGCGCACAGUCAAUCAGGGUAGAGGGGGUAUUUCUGAGUCAAUCUGAGGCUAAGGACAUGUCCUUUCCCAUGAGGCCUUGGUUCAGAGCCCCAGGAAUGGACCCCCCAAUCACUCCCCACUCUCCUGGGAUAAUGGGGUCCUGUCCCAAGGAGCUGGGAACUUGGUGUUGCCCCCUCAAUUUCCAGCACCAGAAAGAGAGAUUGUGUGGGGGUAGAAGCUGUCUGGAGGCCCGGCCAGAGAAUUUGUGGGGUUGUGGAGGUUGUGGGGGCGGUGGGGAGGUCCCAGAGGUGGGAGGCCGGCAUCCAGGUCUUGGCUCUGCCCUGAGACCUUGGACAAACCCUUCCCCCUCUCUGGGCACCCUUCUGCCCACACCAGUUUCCAGUGCGGAGUCUGAGACCCUUUCCACCUCCCCUACAAGUGCCCUCGGGUCUGUCCUCCCCGUCUGGACCCUCCCAGCCACUAUCCCUUGCUGGAAGGCUCAGCUCUUUGGGGGGUCUGGGGUGACCUCCCCACCUCCUGGAAAACUUUAGGGUAUUUUUGCGCAAACUCCUUCAGGGUUGGGGGACUCUGAAGGAAACGGGACAAAACCUUAAGCUGUUUUCUUAGCCCCUCAGCCAGCUGCCAUUAGCUUGGCUCUUAAAGGGCCAGGCCUCCUUUUCUGCCCUCUAGCAGGGAGGUUUUCCAACUGUUGGAGGCGCCUUUGGGGCUGCCCCUUUGUCUGGAGUCACUGGGGGCUUCCGAGGGUCUCCCUCGACCCUCUGUCGUCCUGGGAUGGCUGUCGGGAGCUGUAUCACCUGGGUUCUGUCCCCUGGCUCUGUAUCAGGCACUUUAUUAAAGCUGGGCCUCAGUGGGGUGUGUUUGUCUCCUGCUCUUCUGGAGCCUGGAAGGAAAGGGCUUCAGGAGGAGGCUGUGAGGCUGGAGGGACCAGAUGGAGGAGGCCAGCAGCUAGCCAUUGCACACUGGGGUGAUGGGUGGGGGCGGUGACUGCCCCAGACUUGGUUUUGUAAUGAUUUGUACAGGAAUAAACACACCUACGCUCCGG